AAGUAAGAAGCAAAUACAUUGCAUUUAGUUUCGACCUAAAAGUCUGAUUUUUAUUAAUCCUUACUUU
rnacentral:tRNA from 1 species